CGGUCAGACCUAGAAGUAGCAAUAUGGAGGCCAUUACCAAGGUAAGGGUUUAGGUCAAGAGAUUGGUCACAAUUGCCAAAGGAUUGUGAAAAAGAGAAGACAAGAUGGCCGAAAACGGUUCCUUGUGAAACACUUACACUGAUGAGACAGGAGGAGGAAGGAUCCAGAGAAGGCCCAUAAAGAGAGGAUUCAAGAAGGUGGGAUCUUCAGAAUAAGAACGAAGAAGGAUCACCGAGAGACAUUGAUAAGAAGCAGUGAACAUCCAGGACAUUCAGAGAGUGGAAGCCAUGUGGUGCUCCGGGAUGAACUGGUUGGCAAGAAGCUUAUAAAUCAGGAAUAGACAGAGACUAAUGAGAGACUGGAAAUAUGAGAAUGAAGUCAAUAGGAACCUACAGAAGGCAAUGCAGAUACCUCUAGUGAGGAGAGAGUUCUUGAUGGAUUUUUCAGAUGACAUAAAGCCAAUUUUUAUCUGGAAAGGUUUAUUUCAAGCAAAUUUGUGUAGAUAAAACCUUGGGGGAGUAAAAAAAAAGCCCCCAAAACAACCCAAACAAAUAGAAAAGCCAAACAAAACUGCUUACAGCAGAAAUCCAGAUAUUUGCUGCAAAACAAUUAGUAAUAGCAUUGGCGA